rnacentral:rRNA from 1 species
GAUGAACGCUGGCGGCGUGCCUAAUACAUGCGAGUCGAGCGAACAGACGAGGAGCUUGCUCCUCUGACGUUAGCGGCGGACGGGUGAGUAACACGUGGAUAACCUACCUAUAAGACUGGGAUAACUUCGGGAAACCGGAGCUAAUACCGGAUAAUAUAUUGAACCGCAUGGUUCAAUAGUGAAAGACGGUUUUGCUGUCACUUAUAGAUGGAUCCGCGCCGCAUUAGCUAGUUGGUAAGGUAACGGCUUACCAAGGCAACGAUGCGUAGCCGACCUGAGAGGGUGAUCGGCCACACUGGAACUGAGACACGGUCCAGACUCCUACGGGAGGCAGCAGUAGGGAAUCUUCUGCAAUGGGCGAAAGCCUGACGGAGCAACGCCGCGUGAGUGAUGAAGGUCUUCGGAUCGUAAAACUCUGUUAUUAGGGAAGAACAAAUGUGUAAGUAACUAUGCACGUCUUGACGGUACCUAAUCAGAAAGCCACGGCUAACUACGUG